AUCACACUCUGUUCUUUCUCAUCUUCUCAUUCUCAUCUUUCUCAUCUCUCAAACAAUUGAACGAUCUUCGAAAAUCGCUACUAACACUAAUUUGAUUGUGCAUUUGUUUUUCAUUCUUUUUUCAAUCUCUCACUUUUCUGAAUCUCGCUUUGUUUGUUUGUUGCAGAUUUCAUUCAUCACCAUCACUAAUGGAUUCUCGUUACCCUUUCCAACAACGCCGAAACACUUCUUCUCAGGAUAACUUGGAUAGGUUUAUUCCAAAUCGCUCCGCAAUGGAUUUCGGUUACGCCUACUACAUGCUGAGUCGUAAGGAAAACCACAUUUCGGUUCCAGAGGUCAUUUCACCAUCGACACAAGCCUACCGCAAACGCCUUGCGGAAGCUUGUAACCUCAGUGAAAGAACUCGAAUUCUGGCUUUCAAGAACAAGCCUCCAUCACGACUACAACUCAUACCUAAACAGAUUCUCUCACCACCACCUCUGUCCAAACCAAAACCAUCCAUUCCUAAGACAUGUUUGAGAACCUUGGAUGCCCCUGAUAUGUUGGACCACUUUUCCUUGAAUUUACUAGAUUGGGGUACAGCCAAUGUCCUCGCAAUUGCCCUUCAGGAUACCGUUUAUUUGUGGAAUGAUUCAAACAGUUCCGUUUCAGAACUUGUCACCGUCCACGAGGAACACGGUCCUGUCGCAAGUCUUAGCUGGGCCUCAGAUGGUCGCCAUUUAGCCAUUGGUUUGAACAAUUCCAAUGUCCAGAUUUGGGAUUACAUUGCUAAUAAAAAGCUAAGGACAUUAAAGGGUGGGCACAGCGCAACAGUGGGUUCAUUGGCUUGGGACAAUCAUAUUCUGACAACAGGAGGAAUGGAUGGUAAAAUAUUAAACAAUGAUGUUAGAGUGAGGUCUCCCAUUGUUCAAACUUACAGGGGACACAGCCAGGAAGUUUGUGGACUCAAGUGGUCGCCCUCAAGACAACAAUUGGCGAGUGGUGGAAACGAUAAUGUUGUCCACAUAUGGGAUAGGUCCAUGGCUUCUUCAAAUUCACCUACUCGGUGCCUUCAUAGAUUUGAGGAACACGGAGCUGCUGUCAAGGCAUUGGCUUGGUGUCCUUAUCAGGCUAAUCUAUUGGCAUCUGGAGGAGGUGACGGCGAUCAAUGCAUUAAGAUAUGGAACACACAUACAGGUGCAAGGUUGAAAUCGGUUGAUACGGGAUCGCAAGUAUGUUCUCUGCUAUGGAACAAGAACGAGCGUGAGCUUCUUAGCUCACACGGGUUCCCUCAGAACCAGCUUAUCCUCUGGAAGUAUCCUUCCAUGGCUAAGAUGGCGGAGCUCAACGGUCACACCUCAAGGGUGCUGUAUAUGACACAGAGUCCAGAUGGGUGUACCGUGGCAUCUGCAGCAGCAGAUGAGACUCUUAGAUUUUGGAGUGUUUUUAAAGGCCCAGCAACAGACAAAGAUAAUGAGCCGUUUGCAAAUUUCAACCUUAUCCGUUAAAGCUAAAACUCUCAUGUAACCUUUGCAAUAUCUAAUGGUAAGGUAAAGUUUCAAGAAAUGUCUUUAGCAGCAAGAGGAGGAUAUGGAAAAGCUGGUGCCUGAUCAUCACAGUCUCAGCCACAACCUUCUGGUUGUGCUUGAAAAAUAGGGAAGCAUGUUUUAUUUAGUUAUUACUUUUUUAUACUUAUUCAUUCUUUUUUACCAAUUUUUCUGAUUAUGUGAUCAUAUGUAACAAUAUUGGACACGGUUCCCACUUAUUUAAUUUUGACUGUUCAAACAAUAAAUGAGGGGAAAAUACCUAUUCAUUUUUAGGACCUGCAUCAUGAGCUUGAAACUAAAUGAUGAUCCUGAGAGCGGUUACACUUUUCCACUUCCAGAAACAAAAAAGAAAAAGAUGCUCUGGUUGACCAUGGAUAAAAGCCUAAUUUUUAUUCCUACCUUAAUUAGUAUUCUAUUUUUACUGUUAGAAACUGCCUAUAUUUUAUGAAAGCAUUUGGAUAAUUGGUAUAUUAGUUUUCAUCAGUUGUGAGGUUUUAUACUUGGGUAGAAAUAUUUGUAGUGUUGUAAUUUUUUAUUUGUUAUAUGCUCUGUAUAGUCUCCAGGUGCAAGAAAUAUUGAUUCUCUCUUUUUUUUCCAGAUUGUUAUGGUUGUUGAUUCACGAGAUCCAUUGUUCUAUCGCUGUCCUGACCUUGAGGCUAAUGUAAAGGAGGUUGAUGUGCAUGAACGCACAUUGCAUUUGGUUAAUAAGGCAGAUCUUUUACCUGCUUCUGUCAGAGAGAAAUGGGCAGAAUACUUUCGUGCUCAUGAUAUUCUCUUUAUCUUUUGGUCAGCCAAAGCUGCUACUGCUGUUUUGGAAGGCAAAAAACCUGGUUCAUCUUAGACUGAGAACAUGGUAAGUGCAAAUAACCCAGACACGAAGAUAUAUGGAAAGAAUGAAUUUUUAGCAAGCUUGCAAUCAAGGGCAGAAGAGAUAGUACACAAGAGAUGAAAUUCAGGCUCCUCUGAUACAGGGUCAUCCACUCUUAAAUCCUCGGGCUAAAAUGCUUGUUAGUCCAUAGUCAAGUCACGUAGUUGUAGGAUUUGUUGGAUAUCCUAAUGUAGGGAAAAGUUCAACUAUCAGUGCUCUGGUUGGACAAAAUAAAACUGAUGUCACCUCUACCUCAGGAGAAGAGGGCUUAGACAGGGAGACCCCUUAUCACCUUUCCUCUUUCUGGUGGCAGCAGAAGGCCUACAUAUGAUGAUGUCGAGAGCAGUUCGGCGAAAUUUUUUUACGGCUAUUACUUCGGCAGUAAUGGUAUGAAAGUCCCAUUUACAGUAUGCUGACGACACAAUUAUUGCAGGAGCUAAAAGUUGGAAAAACGUUUGGGCCAUAAAAGCUUCGUUGCAACUAUUCACACUCAUAUAUAGGCUGAAGAUAAACUUUCACAAGAGCAUGCUAAUCGGCAUUAAUUUAUCCUAAUCCUGGUUGGAGGAAGCAGCGUCGCUUUUGCAAUGUAGAGUUGGUACCUUGCCUUUCAAGUAUUUGGGAUUACCGAUUGGUGGAGAUCUGCGCAGGGAGGGAUUUUGGAAACUGGUUCUGGAUUCUGUCAGGAGUAGGCUGUUUGGGUGGAGCUACAAACAACUUUCUAUUAAAGGUAGAAUUGUCUUGUUGACAUCUAUUCUGUACGCUUUACCGGUUUAUUUUCUUUUGUUUUUCAAAGCUCCCUCACGUAUAAUCUUUGAACUCAAAUCUCUUUAAAAAUAAAUUAUGGGGUGGGGAUUUGGAUGAUAGGAAAAUAAAUUGGGUUCCGUGGGAGAUAAUUUGUCGUAAAAAGAAAGAUUGGCCUUGCUAGGUAAAUGGGAUUGGAGGAUGAGAAUGAAAAAAAAAAAGCCUUUGGUAUAGAGUGUUAGUGAGUAAGUAUGGAGAGUCAAACGGUAGAAUUAAUAGAAAAGGGAGAGACUUCUCAAAGUGGUGGAAAGAUCUUCAUAAGAUUGAAAACGGUUUGUGGGUUUCCAAUGCGAACUGGUUCUCUAACAAGUUGAGAUUAGAAGUUAGAAAUGGCGAAGAGGCUUGGUUUUGGGGUAAGAAUAAGUACCCGGUUAAAGAAGCAUACAAAACAAUAAUGGAGGGAAUAUCGCUUGAAAACCAUAGGGACCUCUCUGUUGCUUGUGAUAACCUGGUCCCGCUGAAGGUAGCGGCAUUGGUAUGGAGACUCUUGCAGAACAAGAUCCCCUCGAAGGAUAAUCUCAUUAAAAGAGGUUCUUUGAGCGAGUCUCACUCCGGGGGCUCAGUACUGUGUGGAAUGGCUGAGAGUGCAUCUCACCUAUUUUUCGACUGUCCUCUUUACUCUGCGGCGUGGCACAAAAUCCUUUCUUGGCUGAAUAUUUCCCCUGCUUUGCAUAAUUCUGCCCCAUCACAUUUAUGUCAAUUUACAAGGCUGCUAGGCAGAGGUAGGGUGAGGGAUAAAAUAUUUUCUGUUUUACGGUUUGCUUGUAUUUGGAUUUUGUGGAAAAAGAGAACGAAAAAGAUUUUUAGAAACUCAAGCGGAUCGACGGAUGUUUGGAUUGAAGAAAUCCAAGUUGUGGCUUGGAAAUGGUUAAAGUCUAAGCUGUAUGGUUUCAACUACUCCUUAAGCCAGUGGAUUUUAAAUCCAUUGGAUUGUUCCUAACGUCUUAGUCUGAGAGUUUCCUCUUGUUUGGGAGCCCCCGAUUUCGUGGUUCUGUCAAUUUUAUUUUCCUACGGCUACAGGUAAAGACCAUUGCUAGUAUGUUACCCAAGAUCAGAUCCUGCGCUUAUUGAAAUUUCUAGCUGAGUUUUUGCUGCGAUGUCCGCAAUCGCUUGCGGCAUUGAAGCCGCCACUGUGCUGUGUUGGUCAUUUUGGCAGAGACCUUACUGGCUGUGUCAGUUUUCCUUUUCUGUAUUUGUGGUGCUAGGAGCUGGUUCUGGUUUAGCAGUGGUAAGGUUUUCGCGGUGCCUUAUUCCAUUGCUGAGAUUCUGUUUGGUCUUUGGAGUAUUGGAGCAGCUGCAUUUUUUAGUUGAUGACCAGUUGGAAGUUAUCAGAUUUCAGUUGUUUUGGAGCAGCUCUGGUUUCUCCGUGUUUUGCACUGGUUUAUCGAUGUUUUUGGCUUUGCUUUUUUCCGUCCGGUGUUCGACGGGAGCUCUGUGAAAUAGAUGCUGGUGCUUGUUGGGCUGCGAAUUAGGUGGUAGUUCUUGGUAGUGCAGCUUUAGUUUUAUUUGUCGUUGCUCCUUGUCUGAUAUUGAUUUUAAGCAGUAGGAGGUUUGGUUUGUUUAGGUAAUUUUUCAAGAGUGAGAGGAUGAUGUACCAAUUAUCUCUGUACUAGCUUUUGAGGCAUCUCUUAUGCCUUGUUAUUAAUCUACUCUUUUUGCUAUUUAAAAAAAAAAUUGACAUC